GGUGGCUCACGCCUGUAAUCCCAGCACUUUGGGAGGCUGAGGCGGGUGGAUCAUGAGGUCAAGAGUUGGAGACCAGCCUGGCCACCAGGAUGAAACCCCGUCUCUACUAAAAAUACAAAAAAUUAGCCGGGCAUGGUGACACAUGCCUGUAGUCCCAGCUACUCAAGAGGCUGAGGGAGGAGAAUUGCUGGAACCCAGCAGGCAGAGACUGAAGUGAGUCCAGAUCGCGCCACUGCACUCUAGCUGGGGAGACAGAGCAAGACUCCAUCUCAAAAAUAAACAAAUAAAUAAAUAAAUAAUUUAUUCUCCUUUUGGUAUACACCCAGUAAUGAGACUGAUGGGUCAAACGGCAAUUCUAUUUUCAGUUAAGAAAUCUCCAAACUGCAUUUCACAAGGGCUGCAUUAAACUGCAUUUCAACCAACAGUAUAUAUACAUUCCCUUUUCUCCACAACUUCAACAUCUGCAAUAUUUUUACUUUUUAAUAACAGCCAUUCUAACUGCUAUGAAAUGGCAUCACAUUGUCAUUUUGAUUUACAUGUCUCUGAUGAUUAGGGAUGGUGAGCAAUUUUUUGCAUGUUUAUUGGCAACUCUCAUGUCUUUUUUUGAGAAGUGUCUACUCAGAUCAUUUGUGUAUUUCCUUAUUAAAUUUUUAUAGUAUUCUAACCAUUAACUUAAUUUAUAUAUUAUAUAAAUACAUAAUAUAUAUGAAUAAAUAUUAACUUUUUCUUGUAUGAAGUUUGAAAAUAGUUUAUUCCAUACUCUAGGUUGUCUGCAUAUUUGUCAAUGGUUUCUUUUGGUGUGCAGAAGUUUUUUAGUUUAAUUAGGUGUUAAUUUUUCACUUUUAUUUUUGUUGCAUUCACUUUUAUGGUGUUAGUCAUAAAUCCUUUCCAGAGGCCAGUGACUAGAAGAGUACUUUUUUGAUGUUCUACGAUUUUUAUAGCUUUAAGUUUCACAGUUAAGUUUUUAAUCUAUUUUGAAUUACAUUUUUUAUAUGGUGAGAGGUACAGUUUCAAUUUUCUCCUUCUACAUAUGAUUAACCAGUUUUCCCAGUACCAUUUGUUGGAUAGACAAUUUUUCCUUGUUUACUUCUGUUGACUUUGUCAGAAAAAAGUUGGGUGUAGAAAUGUAAACUUAUUUCAGGGCUUUCUCUUCUUUCUAUUGGUCUACAUGUGUAUUUUUGUAGCAAGCCAUGUAAUAUGGAUUACUGUAGCUUUGUAGUACAAGCCAGGUAAUGUGAGGCCUCCAGGAUUGCUUUGUUGUUAAUGUUGCUUUGGCUAAAUGGGCUGUUUUAUUCUUCCAUAUGACUUUUAGAAUGGUUUUCUUUUUCUAAUUCCAUAAAAAGUUGCAUUUAUAGUUUGAGAGAAGUAGCACUUAAUCUGUAAGUUGCUUUAGGCAGCACGGACAUUUUAAUUAUAUUGAUUCUUUAAAUUCAUGAGCAUGGAGUGCCUUUUUACUUAUUUGCGUUGUCUCUAUUUUUUUUCAGCAGUUUUGUAGUUCUUGUUGUAGAGAUAUUUUACCUCCUUGAUUUAAUGUAUUACUAGGUACAUAUUUUUUUGUUUGUAGCUAUUGUAAAUAGAACCAUGUUCUUUUUUUCUCAGCUUGAAUAUUAUUGGUGCACAGAAAUGCUACUCAUUUGUGUAUGUUGAUUUAGUAUGGUGAGACUUUGCUGAAGUCAUUCUUUAGGCUUAGAAAUCUUUUGGUGAAAUCUUUUUCGGUGAAGUUUCCCAGGUAGAGAAUUAUAUCACCAGUGAAGAUAAUUUGACUUCCUCUUUUUCUAUUUGAAUACAUUUUAUUGCUUUAUCUUGUUAAAUUGCUGUGGCUACGACUUUCAGGACUAUGUUGAAUAGAAGUGUUUAGAGUGGAUACUCUUUGUCUUUUUUUUUUUUUUUUUUUGAGAUGGAGUCUCACUCUUGUUGCCCAGGCUGGAUUGCAAUGGCAUGAUCUCAGUUCACUGCAACCUCUGCCUCCCACAUUCAAGUGAUUCUCCUGCCUCAGCCUCCUGAGUAGCUGGGAUUACACAUGCCUGCCAGCACGACAGGCUAAUUUUUUGUAUUUUUAGUACAGACAGAGUUUCACCCUGUUGGCCAGGCUGGUCUUGAACUCCUGACCUCAGGUGAUCCACCCACCUCAGCCUCCCAAAGAGCCGGGAUUACAGGCGUGAGCAACUGCACCCAGCCUUAUUUUUAUUCUGAUGGAGACCUCAUCCAGGUUUUGCCCGCUCAGUAUGAUGUUGGCUGAGGAUUUGUCAUGGAUGGCUCUUAUUAUUUUCAGGCAUAUUUCUCCAGUGCUUAGUUUGUUGAGAAUGUUUUUAUAAAUGAGUAUUAGAUUUUCUUGAAUGCCUUUUCUGCAUGUGAUAAUUGUUUUUUAAAAAUUAUCUUUACAUGGUGAAUCACAUUUAUUUACUUGUAUAUGAUGAAACAUCUUUGCAUUCAUACAAUGAAGUUUACAUGAUUGUGGCAAAAUAACUUUUUGCUUUGCUUAUGAACUCAACUUGCUAGUACUUCAUGAAUUUUUGUUUCAAUUUUCACCAAGAAUAGUGACCGGUAAUUUUCCUUUUUUGUUGUGUCUUCACUAGGUUUUACUACCAAGAUAAUAAUGUUUUCAAAUAAUUUAGGAAGGACUUCCACCUUGAUUUUUGGAAUACACUCAGUAGAAUUAAUACCAGGUUAUCUUUGUAUAUGUGAUAAAAUGUGGCUGUGAACUCAUCUUAUCCAGGGCUUUCUAUGGUUGGUAGCUUGUUUUAUUAGUAAUUCAAUCUUAUUAUAUACUUUAUACAUUGUUGCUCUGUUCAAGACUUCUGUUUCUUUCUGGUUCAAUGCUGAGAAGCUGGAUGUAUCCAGGAGUUUAUCUAUUUUCUCUAAAUUUUUUAGUUUGCAUGCAUAGAGAUGUGCAUAGUAGUCUCUGAGGAUGUUUACUAUUUAUGUGAAAUUAGUUGUGAUAUCACAACUCUAACAUUUAAAUAGAUGCAGAAUAAAAGCUUGACAAAAUUUGGCUGGGUGCAGUGGCUCACACCUGUAAUCCCAGCACUUUGGGAGGCCGAGGCGGGCGGAUCACGAGGUCAGGAGAUCGAGACCAUCCCGGCUAAAACGGUGAAACCCCGUCUCUACUAAAAAUACAAAAAAUUAGCCGGGCGUAGUGGCGGGCGCCUGUAGUCCCAGCUACUUGGGAGGCUGAGGCAGGAGAAUGGCGUGAACCCGGGAGGCGGAGCUUGCAGUGAGCCGAGAUCCCGCCACUGCACUCCAGCCUGGGCGACAGAGCGAG
rnacentral:lncRNA from 1 species